CUCCCAGCAGAAGCGGAGAGAGUUUCUGUGGGACAGGCUGUUCCCGACAAAAGGAUGUCACUGCUGAGCCUGCCCUGGCUGGGCCUGGGACCGGUGGCAACGUCCCCAGGGCUGCUGUUGAUGCUGGUUGUGGGCUCCUGGCUCCUCGCCCGUAUCCUGGCCUGGACCUACGCCUUCUAUGACAAGUGCCGCCGGCUUCAGUGUUUCCCGCAGCCCCCAAAACGGCACUGGUUUUGGGGCCACCUGGGCCUGAUCACUCCUACAGAGGAGGGCUUGAAGAACUUGACCCAGAUAUCGGCCACCUAUUCCCAGGGAUUUAUGAUAUGGAUGGGUCCCAUCAUCCCCUUCAUCUUUUUAUGCCACCCUGACACCAUUCGGUCUAUCACCAAUGCCUCAGCUGCCAUUGCACCCAAGGAUGAUCUCUCCAUCAGGUUUCUGAAGCCCUGGCUGGGAGAAGGGAUACUGCUGAGUGGCGGUGACAAAUGGAGCCACCACCGUCGGAUGCUGACGCCCGCCUUCCAUUUCAACAUCCUGAAGCCCUAUAUAAAGAUCUUCAACAAGAGUGCGACCAUCAUGCUUGACAAGUGGCAGCACCUGGCCUCAGAGGGCAGCAGUCGUCUGGACAUGUUUGAGCACAUCAGCCUGAUGACCUUGGACAGUCUGCAGAAAUGCAUCUUCAGCUUUGACAGCCAUUGUCAGGAGAGGCCCAGUGAAUAUAUUGCCACCAUCUUGGAGCUCAGUGCCUUUGUAGAGAAAAGAAGCCAGCAUAUCCUCCAGCACAAGGACUUUGUGUAUUACCUCACCCAAGAUGGGCGGCGCUUCCGCAGGGCCUGCCGCCUAGUGCAUGACUUCACAGAUGCCGUCAUCCAGGAGCGGCGCCGCACCCUCCCCACUCAGGGUAUUGAUGAUUUCCUCAAGGACAAAGCCAAGUCCAAGACUCUGGAUUUCAUUGAUGUACUUCUGCUGAGCAAAGAUGAAGAUGGGAAGGUGUUGUCAGAUGAGGAUAUAAGAGCAGAAGCUGACACCUUCAUGUUUGCAGGCCAUGACACCACGGCCAGUGGUCUCUCCUGGGUCCUGUACAACCUUGCGAGGCACCCAGAAUACCAGGAGCGCUGCCGACAGGAGGUGCAAGAGCUUCUGAAGGACCGCGAUCCUAAAGAGAUUGAAUGGGACGACCUGGCCCAGCUGCCCUUCCUGACCAUGUGCCUAAAGGAGAGCCUGCGGUUACAUCCCCCAGCUCCCUUCAUCUCCCGACACUGCACACAGGACAUUGUUCUCCCAGAUGGCCGAGUCAUCCCAAAAGGCAUUAUCUGCGUCAUCAAUAUUACAGGGGUCCAUCACAACCCAACUGUGUGGCCGGAUCCCGAGGUGCUGCCUUCCUCAUUCACCACCACCACUCCCAUCCUCUACUCUUUUUUUGCUUUGUUUUUUUGUCAAUUCCAAUGUUCCUAGUGGAAGGGGCAGGGUUUUGAUGAGGAAAAUCCAACAUCACCUCGCCCCAACACACACAUUUGUCUCUCCAACAAGGUUGCUGGACCUAGGAGAUCCCACUCAGCAAACCUUUAUCUCACCUGCAGGUCUAUGACCCCUACCGCUUCGACCCAGAGAACAGCAAGGAGAGGUCACCUCUGGCUUUUAUUCCCUUCUCCGCAGGGCCCAGGAACUGUAUCGGGCAGGCGUUUGCCAUGGCGGAGAUGAAGACGGUCCUGGCACUGUUGCUGCUGCACUUCCGGUUCCUGCCAGACCACACUGAGCCCCGCCGGAAGCCGGAGCUGAUCCUGCGCGCCGAGGGCGGGCUUUGGCUGCGGGUGGAGCCCCUGAACACAGGCUUGCAGUGACUCUGUGAUCCAUCCACCUUAUUUUGCAGAUUCUCAUGAAUAAAACGGUGCUGUCACGUCUGCCUGGGCCUCAC